GAUGAACGCUGGCGGCGUGCCUAAUACAUGCAAGUCGAGCGAACAGACGAGAAGCUUGCUUCUCUGAUGUUAGCGGCGGACGGGUGAGUAACACGUGGAUAACCUACCUAUAAGACUGGGAUAACUUCGGGAAACCGGAGCUAAUACCGGAUAAUAUUUUGAACCGCAUGGUUCAAAAGUGAAAGACGGUCUUGCUGUCACUUAUAGAUGGAUCCGCGCUGCAUUAGCUAGUUGGUAAGGUAACGGCUUACCAAGGCAACGAUGCAUAGCCGACCUGAGAGGGUGAUCGGCCACACUGGAACUGAGACACGGUCCAGACUCCUACGGGAGGCAGCAGUAGGGAAUCUUCCGCAAUGGGCGAAAGCCUGACGGAGCAACGCCGCGUGAGUGAUGAAGGUCUUCGGAUCGUAAAACUCUGUUACUAGGGAAGAACAUAUGUGUAAGUAACUGUGCACAUCUUGACGGUACCUAAUCAGAAAGCCACGGCUAACUACGU
rnacentral:rRNA from 1 species